rnacentral:piRNA from 3 species
GCUCAGUCGGUAGAGCAUCAGACUUUUAA